GAAGCCCCGGCACCUUUUGGGGUGCUUCUCCAGACUUGCAUUCUGGCGUAUGUCGCACACUGCGGGG
rnacentral:tRNA from 1 species